ensembl:lncRNA
CUUUACUUUCAUCUUUCCUCUAUUUAAGGAGGGGAAUGUUUUCAGAGAAUUUUCUUUUCACAUUCUUAAAACAAUUUCAUGCCAUUCUUGUAGUAUCAUGUUAGGUGGAUAUUUGCACAUACUGAAUUUAUAAAGCUAGUUUUGAUUAAAGCUCUAUGUGACAUAUAUACUAUCUUCUAUAAUAAGAAUAGUUGGUAAAUUUUGAAUUCUAUUUUCUAGGAAUUGUUAAGGUUGAAACCAACAUGAGGGAGAAUCUCAAGCAUGCAUUAUGAAGUAAAAGCUCAUCAGUGCUUAAGAAACAGAGACUUUUAAAGAUUUUAAAUAUAUUUCUGAUAGAAUUAAACUAAGUGGGGUCUAUUUUAAAAUUUACAUUCUUAAAUGUAAAUAUAUCCAAGAUAGAACGUAAACAGCUGGACUGUUUCUUUAAGAUUCUUGAACAUUUUAAACUGCAUUUUGACACAUUCUGGUGCUUUGCUUGUUUGGCAUGACUUAUAUAGCCAUCUUCCAUAUUUGAGUACUCAGAGGAGAAUACAUGGUUCAUUUAUAUUAAGUGUUGGAGUGAUUUAGAUUUUAUUGAAAACAGUAUUGUUUUUUCUUCUAUAACAUCCAUUUUCAUUAUUACUUAAAAAUACAGGCCCUGUUUUGAGACUUGAAUAUACAACAAAGAACAAAUUAAAUUGUUAAUAUUUUUCCUUAGAGUAUUUUAAAAAUCAUGUUAAACCAUGUUCAUCUAAAACUAUAUGAUAGUCUUAAAUUAAAAUCAAAAGUCUAAUUAAAUAUUUAAACUGUAUAGCUUAUAUCCUUAGUAGGAUACUUUUGAUUUGUAGGUAGAUAUUCAACAAAAACAGUCUCUAUUAUGGAAAAGCAGGAUUGAUGGGACAUUAACUUCUUCAGAGCUGACAAUGUUUCUCAGGAUUGACCUGUUUGCUCUAUAUAACUAUUAUAUUUAUGGUAUAUUGUAAUUGUUUAGUGUUAUAGAAACUGAAUGUUUUCCUUAUUCCUUUUCAAUUUAUUUCUCCUUCUCAAGAAAACCAUAUAAACAAUAGAUGAUGAUGAUUAAUAUGGAUCUGAGCAUUCUAUAUGGAGUUUUUAAAAUUUAUAAUGAGUACUAUUUUUAUAGAGAUUUAAAAUUCAUAAAACACUUCCAAAAACAUUAUCUCAUGUAAUUCCCACAACAAACCUGGGAGGUAGAUAUUGUUGACAUUUUAGAAGUUAAAUAAAAACCCUAAGGCUCAGAAAGAACAAGUCACUUGACUGAAAUCAUAAUUAAUAACCUAUUCUUUUGACUUAAAUUCCAGAUAUGUUCUUUUAUUUUACUUUAGUCAUAAAUUCACAGAUUUUGCCAGGGGUGGGGAGAGGAGUCACUUACUGUCUUUUGUCUGUUUUUCCUUUAAAGAUAAAUAUAAUUCUUUUAAGUGUGUGUGUGUGUGUGUGUGUGUAUGUGUGAUGUUUAUGUAUUACUCAAACUACUUAAAAGAUAGUGGGAGAACUUUUGUUUGAUUAAGUUAACCCUGACCUUUUCAGUGGUGUGAGAGAUAUAGGAAUAAACCUAUAAUAAACUUACUAUAUUUUUUAAGUGUCUACAAAUUAGAAAUAAAGUUGCCAUAUCUUGAAUUUUUUUUUUUUGCUAAACUUCUAGCAGAGAUGUUAGUGAUCAUGAGAAGGAAAUGGUAAUCGUGUUUUGCUUUUUUAAUUUCAUGUACGUCAAAAAUAUUUUCUUGGUAUUUUGUAUUUUUUUUUCGUUUUAUCCCAUAAUUUCAAAAGACUAAAAUAUGACACUAGUUGUGAUGAAACGUUUUUUUUUUUAUUUACGCCAUAUAAGAAUGGCUGUGUACGGUUGCAGGCUAAUAUGUGGAAACGUUAACCAGAAACUCCUUUCUAGGUUUUCACUGUUCUUAUUGUUAUUCAAUACUUAUCAAUACAUGAGUUGUAAUUUAUUCUUUAAUGUAUUAACUUCCAGUCUAAUCUAGGCAUCUUCCUGUUUCAGUGUUUGGCACCACCAAUUCCGACUGGUUCCCAAACUAGUAACCUAGCACUCAUCUUAGACGCCUUCCUCUCCCCAGUUCUCCACCCCCAUCACUUCAUUACCGGGCGCUAUCAUUUUACCUUAUAAACAUCUCUCAAUUUUGUCUGCUUUUCUCUACUUCUCCCCAACUCUCUAAUCUAAGCUUCAUCAGUACCUUUUGCCUGCACUACUGCAGUUGCCUCCCAGCUGGCCUUUCUACAACUUACUCGGGCCCUCCUCUGGUUCAGUCUUUAUACUGCGGGCAGAAUUCUCUCUUUCUUUUUUUGAGAAAGAUUAGCCCUGAGCUAACGUCUGCCACCAAUUCUCCUCUUUUUUGCUGAGGAAGAUUGGCCCUGAGCUAACAUCCAUGCCCAUCUUCCUCUACUUUAUAUGUGGGAUGCCUGUCACAGCAUGGCUUGGUAAGUGGUGCGUAGGUCCGCACCCAGGAUCCAAACCAGCGAACCCUGGGCUGCCAAAGCGGAACGUGCGAACUUAACUGCUUGGGCUGGCCCCAGAAUUCUCUUUUUUGAAGCACAGUUUUAAUCAAGCCAACCCAGCUACUCCCAUUCUCACCCCUAGCUUAAAACACUUCAAUGACUUUUCAUUGCUCUUAAUGAUGAAAAAAUAAAUUUUGUGUGACCUAUGAGGUCACAUAUAUUAGGGCCACUAUCUACUUGAUAAAGUAAUUCUGAGCAUUAAAAGAAUUAAUGUCUCCAAACAUAAAACAGUGGCUGGCACAUCACCUUAAAAGACACUCAGUAGAGGUUAGUUAUUAUUACCACUCUUCAUCACCCUCAUUGUGCACCACGUGUCAGUUAACUUUGUGUUCCACUUUCAUUGCAAUUUAGGUAUCUGGAAUGUGUGAGAAUUAAAGUGUUUCUUCCACCAUGGGAACCUUUUCUCAUGCUGUUCCUUUGGCUUGAAAUACCUUUCUCUGUUGAUUGCCUAGUUAAUUCCUAUUUGUCUUUUGGAUCUCAGCUCAUACAUCACUUCCUCAGGGAAGCAUUCCCUAAUUUCUGUCACAGGGUAAGACUCGCUGUUAUAUAUUAUCACAUGACCACACACCUCUACUUAGCAUUGAAUACCUUUGUAAUUUUAUAUGUAUUUGUUUGAUUAAUGUAGACCCUCUAGAUUGUAAACUCUGUGAGGGCAGGAAUUGUGUUUUUCUUGUUGUCGUUGUUCACCUUUGUAUUCCUUAUGCCUCAUACAGUGCCUGGCACAUAGUGGGUGCUCAAUAAAUUUGUUGAAAGAAUAAAAUGAAUGGAUGAGGGAUCAAGGAUGUUUUUCAGGUAUUGAGUUCUUCCUCUCUGUUGUAUUGAGGGGAGAAGAAACAGGCAGAAAAGUAGGUAGUGAUAGUUAGUAAAAGGGGCGGAUUCCUUGAGUCCAUAAGGAAAGAAAAAAGUGGGGAAUGGAGAAAUUUGCCAUAUUGUGUUCUUCAGAAUUUUGAAUAUCUGAAUAUCUAGUUGGUUUAUCACGAAAAAGAAAAUCAGCACAUCACUUCAUAAAACUGCU